CAGAAGCGUAUAUUAAUGUUGUUGCAGUUAAAACGCUCGUAGUUGGAUCUUGGAGAACGGUUGAGCUCUGUCCGCCUGAAGGCGAGUACGGACUCUCCGCCUCUGUAUCUGGCAGCAAUGCACGUGGGCCCUUAACUGGUGUUCUGCGUUCGGCCGAGGGGUAAUUCCCAAAGUCGACAUGAUUGCGGGCCGGCCUUAAACCGCCGAGCACGCAGCUAGUAUUCUGCCUCAUUUACUUUGAAAAAAAUAGAGUGCUCAAAGCAGACCUUAGGGUCAUUGAAUAAUUCAGCAUGGGAUAAUAGAACAUGAGAUUAGAUUCAUUUCGUUGGUAUUAUGAAUUUAAACUAAUGAUUAAAAGGGAUCGUCGGGGUGGUUUGUAUUGAAAAGCUAGAGGUGAAAUUCUUGGAUUUUUUCAAGACAAACAACUGCGAAAGCAAUCUACUAGGAGAUUCCCAUUAA
rnacentral:rRNA from 1 species